rnacentral:lncRNA from 10 species
UGCAAUAGCACUGACACUUAAAGUUAAGUGUUUUCUUGCUUGGUCUUAGCACUCUAGCCAAAUGGAUUUUGAGGGCCUCCUAUUCAUGGGUCACAGCUGCUUGACUCAAGGAUUUUUGCCUAUGCAUGCCCUGACAGUCAGAUACUAACUCACUUGGAUGCCUGCCUCUCACACUGCUCUACUUUAUGAAGUCAAGACCAUUAAUAAAAUCCAGUUUACAGAAAGGCCUAGAGAAGGUUAUUUCUCUGAACACUUCGCUGUACCUACUUCCAUAACAGAUGAACUUACCAGAUGUAACAGAAGCGGUUCUUCUGUUCUCGUGGAAGAUGAAGUUGUCCUUUGUUUUGAUGAGUCCUGAAGGACUUAAAGGAAGUGUUCCUGGACGUAACCAAGGGUCAGGCUGCUUAUUCUCAUGGCCCAAUAAUGAGAUGCAGAUGAACUGGGAAAGAAGAGAGUUUAUUUCUGCAACCAGCUUCAGGGAGAAGGCCAGGAAAAUAUUGCCAGACCAGCUCAAAAUUACAAAGUUUUCCAAAGCUCAUGUACCUUCUAAGUCUACGUGUAAGUGUGCAUUCAUCUAAAGACAUAAGCUCCACUGGCAGACAGCAGAGAAGGGGAGAAGAGGAGAAGCAGCUGGACAUUGAAGACUCUGGUUUGACAUAAGAGAGAAGCAGCUUCACUUCAGAGGGACAACUUGACAUUGGGACAUCAGGGGAAGAAUGCCUUCUUCCUACUCCAUCCCCUUUCCAGCUCCCCCUCUCACUGAGAGCCACUUCCAUCAGCAAUAAAAUCCCCCACAUUUACUAUCCUUGAAUUUGUGCAACCUGGUUUUUCCUGGACACCAGACAAGAGCUUGGGAUACAGAAAACUGUCACACUAACCAUCUGCCCUCAUGAAAAGGCAGAGGGUCCACUGAGCUAUUAAACACUGAAGCUGUCUGCAGACAGCAAAGCUAAAAGAGCACUGUAACACACUCCCUCUGGUGCUUCAGGGGUAACAGGUAGUCCCGUAGACACCGCCAUCAGGCUACACGGAGUUUUGCUCCUUCCAGUACCCAAAAGCACUCACUCCAGCUUCUGCACCUGCUCACCUGCAUGCUCCCCCUCCCACGAGGGGUUGAAAGCUGCGGGCUGAGUAAGUGAGGCACCCCUGUCACAAGGCUUGAGAAGGGAUCAAGGAAAAUUUCCUGUUUCAUUAUGCUUUGUUCAUGCCUAUCUCUGGACAAGCAACUAUGGCCAGGGAAAAGGGGUUGUACAAUAUGUUCAGGAGAAGAGAAGAAGCUACUCUUUUGGCCAUUUUGAACAAUAGCCAAUUCACCACACAGCAUAAUUAAUGGUUUAGAAUUUUUUCUUCUUUUAUUUUUUUCUUUCUGUAGAGACAGUAUCUCAUUGUGUUGCCCAAGCUGGUCUCGAACUCUUGGACUCAAGCAAUCAUCCUGCCUCAGCCUCCCAAAGUGCUGGGGUUAUAGGCAUGAGCCAACACGCCCUGCCUAGAAUUUCAUUUCUAUUCAUUAAAAAUACAUCAAAUGGUUUUUAUAUUACAGUAAAAUCACUAUUUCAAAUGAUUAUUCCAUAUAUUUUAUGUGCAAAAUUAAGAGCUGCCAUAUUGUCUUUAAAGGCCUGCAGGUAUAGAAAGGACUCACUGCUUUUUAUGAACACAUCUCUCCUAUUCACACCUCCAAGAGUUAUUGCUUCUUGGUAACCCUCCAUUAAGCGUUUGAUUAAGUUCAAGGUGAUUAGAUUAUUAACACUUUAGUCAUGGUCUGGUUGGCUUAUCCCCCUACCCCUCUCCAUUCUUUUAAUCACUGCUCUAUUCAUCCACUCAACAAAUAUUUAAUGAGUGCCUAUUAUAUGCCAAUUCUAUAGAUACUAAACAUAAAUAGAGAUAAAUAAAGCAUGAUCUCUGCAUUUAAGGGCUAUACCAAAGAUGGGACAUCAGACAAAUAAACAGAUUAUUAUAAUACUGUGUAAGGGCCAAGUCCCCUUCAUCCUCUGAAAGUUCACUGAAAAUCAACUGACAAAAAGUAGACUAAUACAAGAAAAAGCACACAUUCUAUUAACAUGCUAUAGGCGUCUUACAAAAUAAGAUCUCUUAAAAAGGCAAAUGAUUGACCCACUUAUGCCAUGUCGAGGUUACAGAACUAAUAGGUGUCUGGAUCAUGGCAAAACUAAUUACAGGAGGGGGAGAAGAGGAGGCCUGGCUAGCAAAGGUGAUCUUGUUCUGUGGAUGAAACCUCACAGGCCUCAGCCCUCAGAAAGAAUAGAUGGUAAAUGUUUAUUUUAGGCUUUUAAAGGUGUCAGACUCUUGGCCAAUCUUUCCUAGAUCUGACAAAGCCUGGCUGCAUCAAUGUAGAUUCUCUACAGAUGCAAAUCACCGCCUCAACACACAGUUUUACAGAGCUGCUUCUGUUUGCAGACCCUCUGAAUGUUACAGGUAGUUAGACAGGCAUGAGCUGGGCAGGAGAGGGCUCUCCUCAACCCACCAGGAAUGUCAGGUGAUGAUUCAACGAUUAGCACAUUGCUUCUCUACAGAUGAUAAUUUGGCAGCAGGCACCAGGGAGAAGCAAAAAUAACUUCCAAUAAAAUCUCAGGUAUUGGGUGAAUGAGUCUAGACACGUAGAUUAGGAGACAAAAUGGCAGAGCAUGACCUUCCGGGGGCAGUCCACCAGAAAAGAGAAGAAGACCUGAGAUGUGCCUGUGUACAACCUCCUGAAUACACUGCGUGUGCUCACUUCCCAAGCAUAAGGAGGGCACUCCACAUGCAGGCAGCCCACCCUAAGGGAAGAAUCAUGGGAAAGGGGGACGUGAGAAGCAGGAGGUCGGCCAGCCUAUAAAGUCCUGGGAUCAAGGUUAAACACCACUCUUGACCUCGAUGCCUCGUUGGGUCUCUUCCAAGUGUAUUUUUCUUUCUUUCCUGUUCUAAGGUCUUUUUAAAUAAACUUCCACUCCUCCUCUGAAACUUGCCUUUGUCUCUUUUUCUGGCUAUUCCCCUCAGUCGAAUUCUCUCUUCUGAGGAGGCAAGAGUUGAGGUUGCUGCAGACCCAUAUGGAUUCGCCACCG